ACUCCUGCGGGAGGCAGCAGUGGGGAAUAUUGGACAAUGGGCGCAAGCCUGAUCCAGCCAUGCCGCGUGAGUGAUGAAGGCCCUAGGGUUGUAAAGCUCUUUCACCGGUGAAGAUAAUGACGGUAACCGGAGAAGAAGCCCCGGCUAACUUCGUGCCAGCAGCCGCGGUAAUACGAAGGGGGCUAGCGUUGUUCGGAUUUACUGGGCGUAAAGCGCACGUAGGCGGACUAUUAAGUCAGGGGUGAAAUCCCGGGGCUCAACCCCGGAACUGCCUUUGAUACUGGUAGUCUUGAGUUCGAGAGAGGUGAGUGGAAUUCCGAGUGUUGAGGUGAAAUUCGUAGAUAUUCGGAGGAACACCAGUGGCGAAGGCGGCUCACUGGCUCGAUACUGACGCUGAGGUGCGAAAGCGUGGGGAGCAAACAGGAUUAGAAACCCGUGUAGUCCCA
rnacentral:rRNA from 1 species